rnacentral:rRNA from 1 species
ACCGCGGCGAGAGCCAAGGUGGAGCGCACGGAAGUGAAGCUGCCGGCAUGAGUAACGAGAAAACGGGUGAGAGACCCGUUCGCCGAAAUUCUCAGGGUUCCUUGGGCAAGGCGAAUCCGCCCAGGGUGAGUCGGGGCCUAAGCCGAGGCUGAACAGCGUAGGUGAUGGCAAACCGGUGAAGAUUCCGGUACCACUGGGACAUCGUUGAGCGAUGGGGAGGACGGGGAUCGAGAGGCCAGCCUGUGAGUGGUAGCACAGGUGGAACGGUGAGCGCGGCGCGUGCGGGAAAUCCCACGCGCGGAACGCGGGUGCCGGAGACCGGGUCGCAGGACCAGAAGUGGCUGCGCUGGGUCCCCCAAGAAAAGCCCUCUAGCGAGAUGUUCGGGUGCCCGUACCCAAAACCGACACAGGUAGAAACGGAAGGACUCCGAAGGCGUAUGAGUGAACCCUCGUUAAGGAACUAGGCAAAUUAACCUCGUAACUUCGGGAGAAGAGGUCCCGCGGUAGGGUGCACAGCCCGAAGCGGGGGCACAGACCAGGCCCUGGCGAC